rnacentral:lncRNA from 1 species
CGACCAAGCUCGGAGCACGAGCCUGCGUUUUAACCGCCCCCGCCUCCCUUUCCCGCCGAUCAAGGGUGGGUGGGGGUGUGUGGGCGUGGGUAGGUUAAGACGCAUGCGUGGUGGAGUUCCCGGGCGACGCGGGAAGCAACGGUUGGGCUGAGGGGAGACUAUUGGACCCCCUGGGCUCAUUCGCGACGCAUCUGCUACGGAUCCCUCAGAACAUCCCCUGGACUCUGCCUCCUCUCCAAAAUAGAGCCCAGAUCCACCCGUUCUCCCCAGAAAGGCUUUCACUGCCUGAGGCCAUAUCAUCCUCAUCUCUAUCCUGGAAGACUGAACAGCAUCUUCUCUCUCUGCUCUCUUUCAUUUUUAGGAAAUAAGCAACACGCAGAGGAAUCUUUUAAAAAAUAUGAGUUAUCCUGCUGGGUAGCAUUGAGAACUAUGUCUAGAUACUCAUGUUGCAACAGAACGAAGGGUGGGGAAAAAAAUGUAUACAUGUAAGGAUAACUUGAUCCCCUUGCUGUACAGUGGGGGGAAAAAAUGUUAGAUCAAGAGCACAUCUUUCCUCAAUGCUUCCAAAACACUUUCCGCUGAACUUGGAAUACAUUCUAAAUCUCUCAUUUAGGCUUACAAAGCCCCCCUGUUUUCUGCUGCCAUGCGCUCCCUUGCUCAUUUGCAGUUCUGACACAUGGAUCUUUCUGUGUUUGGGAGCUUACCAAACUCAGGAUCUUUGCACUUAAGAGUGAUCCCUCUGCUUGGGACUUUGUGUCACAUGUCUUUGGUUUAAGGCCCGACAGUCCUUGCGCCACCUCUGGCUUGUAAGCUAAGGGUAGUUUUUUACAUUUUGGAUUUUUUUUUGGGGGGGGGGGGGUUGGCUGUGCCCUUGGCACACAAGUUCCUGGGCCAGGGAUUAAACCUGCACCAUAGCAGUGACCAGCACCAUAGCAGUGACAACGUCAGAUCCUUAACUGUUAGGCCACCCCGGAACUCCUGGUUUUUAUGCUUUUAAUUUUGGGGAGAAAGUCAAAAGAAGAAUAAUGGCUCAUGACAUGUGAACACUGUAUACAAUUUAAAUUUCAGUGUCCAUAAAUUUAAGUUUAUUUGAAAACAGCCAUACUAAUUUACAAAAUGCCUAUGGCUGUUUUUGAGCUACAACAUCAGAGUUGAGUUUUUUUUUUAACUUUUUGUCUUUUUAGGGCCGCCCCCACGGCAUAUGGAGGUUCCCAGGCUAGGAGUUGAAUCGGAGCUGCAACUGCCGGCCUACACCACAGCCACAGCAACGAGGGAUCCGAGCCAUGUCUGCAACCUACACCACAGCUUGAGGCAACGCUGGAUCCUUAACCCACUGAGCAAGGCCAGGGGUCAAACCUGGGUCCUCAUGGACACUAGUCAGGUUUGUUAAUCACUGAGCAGUGACGGGAACUCUUAGUUGAGUCCUUUUAACAGACUGUCAACAAACUUAAAAUAUUUACUCUGGAUUUUUAUAGGAAUUUGCCAACUUCUAAGACAUAUAUUUAUGUGGUUGUCUUAUACAUUUCUAUAUAAUCAGUGGGGUAUGGUGAGUGUUUAACAGCUGCUUCUCUGGGGGCGGAAUGUGUUUCUGUCUGUCUGUUUUGGUUUGGUUUUUUUGGCUGCACGUGUGACAGAAGUUCCCCAGCCAGGGUUCAAACUGUAGCCACAGCAGUUAACAAUGCUGGAUCCUUAACCUGCUGCGCUGCAAGAGAACCCGUCUGUCUGUAUUUGUAGUGUGCCUUUAUAUGUAUAAUUUAUUGUAAAUUUUACUAUUUUCCCAUCACUUUCUUAAGUCUCAAAGACAAUAAAACAAGAAAUUGGA